rnacentral:lncRNA from 1 species
CAAAACAAAGUUAAGACAAAUAAAUUAAAGGAAGAGAGUAUUAAUUCUAUGUAAGCACCUCAAGUUUACCUGUACGUAGUUUCUUUGAGUUGAAGAACUUGUCUUAUGGUUUCUCCCAAUAACCACAACUUAUAUGGAAAGCAUUCAGUGAGAGGAAAGUCUCGGGGUGAGUGAGGUCAACUUAUAAUUAGAUAUUAUUUCAUAUUAUUGAAGUGAAGUGAGUCAACAUCCUAUACAUUUCUUCAUGACUCUGUAAGUGCAACUCUUUUUUGUUUUCUAGAUUUUUUUUUGUUGUUUGGUUUUAAGGUGAGACGGCAUGCAGUAAAUCCUCAUGGUUUGAUAUUUUUUCGUAUUUCGUACAUAACAAGAGUUUUUAUAUAUCGAGGUGCCCCAGUUUUGAUUUUUAGUGUUCAAAUCUAUUUGAUCUUGUACUGAUUCUACUCUUAUCUAAAUUUCAAAAUUCCUCGUUUCUGACAAUUUGAAUUUUGUUGUUAUGGAUGAUUGAACCUCGGAUUGUGUAAAUGCACGCUUUCAGUAUGUAUUAGUAAUUGAUAUGUAUAUUAUCGGAAGAAUUAAUUUAAAUAGAUGUUCACUCAAUCGCUUAAACUAAAAAUAGUAAUGCAGAUGUAUAAUAGAGAAGUGCAAGUCAAAUAUAAGUAUGUGUGAAACCAAGAUGUAUAAUAGAAGUGUAAGUAAUAUAUAAGUAUGUGUGUAACCACGCACCCAAGGGUGUAACCUAGUUGGUCAAUGAAGUGGAUUGUAAACUUGAGGUUUAUAUUCAAAUUCAAGCAAAGAUAAAAAAAACUCAUAUGUGUCCUAGCUUUGCUGGACAGAGCUACCUAGAUAUCUUGUAGAUUAGGUCAAGGUGCGAAAAACUCCGAUAUCAUGGUUAUCAAGAAAAGAAGUGUAUGAUCAUAUUUAAUUAGUGUAUAGUUUAUGUACUACAGCAUAUUUGUUUCCUGUUCUUCUGUCUCUUCUGUAUGUUUACUUGUUAGUUGUUAUGGUGAAGUCAAAAUAUUUUUGCUAAAAAUGUUUAACAUUUAGUAAUUAUAUAUGUAAAGUAAUUUUUGAAUUAUAUAUACACAAGUAUAAUUUUCUUUAAAUACGAUGUGAUUUUCUUGUAAAGGUUGUUCAAUUUCAGUGUAUUGGCCAUGCAUUGUUGGUAGCCAUUCAGUGGAUACUAAAUUGUAUAAUAUUCAACAAUUCCUCGAUGAGGAAAGGUAUCCGUCCGCCCAUCGUUUUACUAGCCAACUAUAUAUUUUAAUUAUUUUAAGUCAUAUCUCGUCACAGGUUGCCUUCUCAGUAUCGUGGCUCACACCAAAAUCGUGUUUUAUCCAUGGAUAUCCAGUAAAGUUCAAUAGUAUCACACAUGAUACUAGCCACGUAUCUCUAAAUAUAUAUAAAGGGUAUGAAUUCAUUGCAGUAUAUUGCUCUUCAAUUUUUUUUAAAAAAACUUUAAUUUGAAGAAUUCAGUCAAAAGGAGGGAAAAAACUGUUAGGCUCGCCAAGGCCAAGCUUCGGACAUUUUUUUUUUUUCUUGAAGUUUAAUUUUUAUGCACGUCGCUAGCAUCACUUACCAGAAAUCCAAAAUGUUCCUAAUUGUCCAGACGUAAGUUAAAAACAAUCUCCAAAGAAAUAAAGAGGGGCAUUUGCACAAAUAACCUUUUUCAAGACAACCAUUUAUGCGUUGUUUCCCCUUAGCCCAGUAAGAUAAUAAAUAUGUUUGUAAUUAAUGGAAAAUUCAUCCAAGGCGAAAAUAAAAUGUGUCCUCAAUCCAAAGAAUACUGCAAAGAAUGAUAUGAUAGAGCAAAUUUCAAAGAGUGAAUGGUAGUAACUCAUAGCAUAAGAAUUUCAAACUAUGUGAAGCAGUUGUAGCAUAUAGUGUGUAGAGUAUUCCUCAAGAAUGAGUUUAAUUCUCAAAAAUAAAGGCAUAAGCCCAUAUAACUCCCCUCUCGAGUCGUAUAUGUCAAGUACAGAAAUCAAUUAAUCAUCAUCCAAUAGAAACAAGUAAUAAGAUCAUGUGACAUGCAACAAUAACACUGAAUAUAUAGAACUGCGAAGCAAACAGAUGAAUAAUUAGGUUUAUUGAAACUGCACGUAUUAGCUAUUUCUGGAAACACCUUGACUUUAUGAUAAUUUUGCAGGUUAUUCCCUUGGAGCCUCUACAAGGAACUAUUUGACAAAUACAAGGAUAAUCACAAGAGGAAAUUCAGGGUCACUCUCUGUGGUGGAAGGUCAGACAUUUCAUUCACUUUUCUAUUUUUCUUCAUCCCAGCUAUCUGCAAUAUGGGCAUAAUGCAUAUUGUUUGUUAGAAAAAAACAUGGAAGAGGUCUAAUUUGUCAUAGCAGAAUCUAAGAAAACUUUGGUGAGGUAACACUUUACAUUGUCCUCCAGAAGUUUGUUUUCCUCUCGCAGCAGUUUUUCCUGCAAUAAUUAAGGGAUAUUGAUAAUGUGCAGUCUGAUGGAAAAUUUCACAUGAUAUAAUUCAUCCUUAAACAAUAAAAGAUAUAUGAUGACAGCUGUUGAUUACAAAGCUACAUAGUGCUGUAGAAAGCAGGGGAGGGCUAUUAACUUGAAGGAGUGGAGACAAUUAUAUGAGAUUUGAUCAGAGAUGCCUAGAGUAUUAAGUCCAAUAGUCAAUUAAGUCUUAACAUACUUUAUUCUAUCGAGAAACUACGAGGACAAGUGAAUGUUCUGUGCCUCUUUAUACUCCUUUUCCAAAAUAAGCUAAUCUAGUAUAUUAAGCUUACGCAAUUUGUGACUGACAUUAGCAUGCAAGAGCUACUGACUAGUCAGUUGAAAACUAUGUUGCUCGGACCCUCCAAAAAUUUUUGCCGCACUCUUGUUGGAUCCUCCAAAAACGCAUAGCUUUUGAAGGAUCCGGCACACACCAGGCGAUACUUCUGAAGAGUUCAAGCAACAUAGGAUAAAAGAUGCUAGUUUUUCUGAUAUAUGAAGGUUUGAAUAGGCUAAGCCUAAAUCUAACGCACCUUGAUCUGCGCAUCAAAGUUCAGGGCAAAACCAAACUCAUUACUUCAGGAAAAACUAGUAUUCAGGAUGUUGUGUAGUUCAGUAGUUCCUGAAGAUGCAGUAGGAUAGCUUACCAGAAACAAAGCAAUGAAGUGUCAAUGGAAAUGAAAACGUACUUGCUCAUGAAGAUCCUUAACAGAUUCAAGCAGCAAAUGUGUCUGCAUAAAACAAAACUACUUAGAUUUAAUAUGCUUCAUUUUGAGGUACUAACUCAAGCAGAGCCAGAUUAAAAUACUGAAAUUAAACACUAUUCAUAAAUCUUAAAACAAAUGCGAACACUAUUCAAUAAAACAAAUCAGAUGCUUAUAAAAAGAAAAAGCGAAAGUAAACAAAAAAAAAGGUAUAGCUGGAGGAGUUCACUAAUAAUUGUGGUUUCUCGAUAUUUGGAUUAUAAAAUAAACCAUGAAACAUAGCAAUUAGCAUUAGAUCAUAUAGAGUUUUGAGAGAGGUGAAUGAAAACAACAAAUGAGGUACUUACCUAAGGGUUUUCAUGUCUGAAAGCACAUCGACGCUGUGACAGCUUCUAGUAUUAGUAAAGGUAGAGGACUAAGAAGGGAAGCCUGGUCCUUUUUAUGUUUAUUGUAACACAAUGUAAUUCCAAUAAGCAAAGGAACAGAGCAAAGUAAAACACCUUUCUAGAUCUGGUUUGUAUUAGAGUAGUUUGAAGUUCAUUUUCCAAAUGUACAAGGUCAGUCACAGUGAGACCAUCAGCAUUAGUUUCCUCGAAUUGCCUGUUAAGUUAAGACAGAAUCAGUCAUAUAAGCUAUCAGAAUCAGUCAUAUAAGCUCUAAGAAACAAAAGUAAAGAACAAGAUCAGUACCUUUCUGUUGCUUGUAGCAGUUCUCCCAUUGUCAUGAACCUUGAGUAUUUAGACAGCUAUUUCCACCUCAAAAUGAUUAGCAAACUUUCAGCACAAAAAAUAUAAAACUGAUUGUUAAAGAUAAAACUGAAUAACAACCAAAUGAUUACUGUGGAUACAUUGCAACAUACACAAUCAACAAGAAGAUAUUUCUUUGAUAGGUACAUUUUAGUUGAACAGCAGCAUGACUUUGAUGCACUAUGACAAAGAGUAAGUAUUAUUAAUAAUUUGGACCUUCGAGUCUGGGAGGCACGCCAGUGUGCAUAUUUAAUAUAUUUUUGGACUUGUUAAAAAUACAGGAAGUUACAUAUUAACUUAAGAACUUAUUUCAAGUAGAGAGGAUCUGGCUCAUUAGAUUAUAACUUGAUAGCAGUCAACUAAUCAAGUACCUCCGAGACCUGGAUUUCUGGAGAGAUCUCUUUUGCUGCUUCGACGUGCCUUUCGUAUCUUUGAAGUAUCCCUGUCAUACUGGAAAACAUAUUAUCAGAAAUGCUUGCUGGUGGAUAAGUAUAAGGAAAUAUUAUGCGGGAGCAGAUCAAUUUUGUAUAGGUUUUAACUUAAGAGUGUAUCAGAAAACGAACACUAUGUUGAUCACUUUGUUGUUUUAUAAAUAAAUACUAUAAUAUAUUUAUAAUGACAAAAACAUUUUCUUGGUUGCUAGGUUUAUACAUUGUUAUAACAAGUGAUGAUGAUGAAAACAGUACUCAACUUGAGCAGUAUUGUCAGUCACUUCUGAAUCAGAGAUCUAUGAAAAAUAACAUACUUCCU